ACUUGAUAUCAAGAAAGCGAAAUAGCCACGCGGAGAUCCAAAUUCACAUUUUGAACUAAAUUUAAUCAUCAAAAUAAAAACAAACCCAUCCCCCAGGUCUUUUAACUUUAGGGAAAUAUUUGGAAAUUAUUUGUGUUUGGGCCAGUUAUGGUAGUUUGAGUCAGGAAGACCUUAUUGUCCUGAACGUAAUACACUUUUCUUUCCUACUUUGUAAAUGGCCGCGCCUCUGUCAGAACCAGGGAAGUCCGGAACGACGACGAAUGUGAGUUUCGUCUGUCAAAGAUGUCUGCAACCUUUGAAGUUAGACACAUCUUUUAACACGAUCGAACAGCGGCUGUUUGAUGAGCUGACUGCCCCUUUAACCAGAUAUAACGAUGAAGAAGAAGAAGAAACAAUAAAUAUUACCACAAAGAGGACACAGUUACCAGAGUAUGAAGAAGAUGGUAAUAUCGUGAAGAGGAUCAUUCCAUCGUCAGG